rnacentral:rRNA from 1 species
GCAAGGGUAUCACUGAAGGAAGGGCCUGCGUCCGAUUAGCUAGUUGGUAGGGUAAAAGCCUACCAAGGCGAUGAUCGGUAACUGGUCUGAGAGGACGACCAGUCCACACUGGGACUGAGACACGGCCCAGACUCCUACGGGAGGCAGCAGUGUGGGAAUAUUGGACAAUGGGCGCAAGCCUGAUCCAGCCAUGCCGCGUGGAUGAUGAAGGCCCUAGGGUGUAAAGUCCUUUCGACGGGGAAGAUAAUAAACAGUACCCGUAGAAGAAGCCCCGGCUAACUUCCGUGCCAGCAGCCGCGGUAAUACGAAGGGGGCUAGCGUUGCUCGGAAUCACCUGGGCGUAAAGCGGCACGUAGGUGGACUCUUAAGUCGGUGGUGAAAUCCUGGAGCUCAACCUCCAGAACUGCCUUCCGAUACCUGGGAGUUCUCGAGUCCGGGAGAGGUGAGUUGGAACUGCGCAGUGUAGAGGUGAAAUUCGUAGAUAUUUCGCAAGAACACUCAGUGGCGAAGCGCGGCUCACUGGCCCGGUAUCUGACGCUGAGGUUGCGAAACGCGUGGGGAGCAAACAGUAUUAGAUACCCUGGUGAGAUCCACGCCGUAAACGAUGGAGACUCGACCGUUGGAGCAGGCUUGCUGCUGUCAGUGGCGCAGACUAACGCAUUAAGCAUCCCGCCUGGAGAUCACGCGUCGCAAUGAUUAAAACUCGUAAAGGAAUUGACGGGGGCCCGCACAAGCGGUGGAGCAUGUGGUUCAAUUCGAAGCAACGCGCAGAACCUUACCAACCUUUGACAUGUCCCGUAUGAGCAACAGAGAUGUAGCUCUUCAGUUCGGCUGGCGGGAACACAGGUGCUGCAUGGCUGUCGUCAGCUCGUGUCGUGAGAUGUUGGGUUAAGUCCCGCAACGAGCGCAA